rnacentral:rRNA from 1 species
GACGGAGGGGGCAAGCGUUGUCCGGAAUCACUGGGCGUAAAGCGCACGUAGGCGGGACGGUGCGUCGGUGCUGAAAGCGCCAGGCUUAACCUGGCGAGGCGUGCCGAUACGACCGACCUCGAGGCAGACAGAGGGUGGCGGAAUUCCGGGUGUAGUGGUGAAAUGCGCAGAUAUCAGGAGGAACACCGGUGGCGAAGGCGGAUCUCUGGGCCUUACCUGACGCUGAGGCGCGAAAGCUAGGGGAGCGAACAGG